AUUAUAAAAAUACACAUUUGGCAGCGAUUAUUAGGUAGCUUUAAAACUGAAAAUGGUAAAUUUUUUUAAG